rnacentral:rRNA from 1 species
AACGCUAGCUACAGGCUUAACACAUGCAAGUCGAGGGGCAGCAUUUCAUUUUGCUUGCAAAGUGAAGAUGGCGACCGGCGCACGGGUGAGUAACACGUAUCCAACCUGCCGAUAACUCGGGGAUAGCCUUUCGAAAGAAAGAUUAAUAUCCGAUAGCAUAUCAAUCCCGCAUGAGAUUGAUAUUAAAGAAUUUCGGUUAUCGAUGGGGAUGCGUUCCAUUAGUUUGUUGGCGGGGUAACGGCCCACCAAGACUACGAUGGAUAGGGGUUCUGAGAGGAAGGUCCCCCACAUUGGAACUGAGACACGGUCCAAACUCCUACGGGAGGCAGCAGUGAGGAAUAUUGGUCAAUGGACGUAAGUCUGAACCAGCCAAGUAGCGUGAAGGAUGACUGCCCUAUGGGUUGUAAACUUCUUUUAUAUGGGAAUAAAGUAUUCCACGUGUGGAAUUUUGUAUGUACCAUAUGAAUAAGGAUCGGCUAACUCCGUGCCAGCAGCCGCGGUAAUACGGAGGAUCCGAGCGUUAUCCGGAUUUAUUGGGUUUAAAGGGAGCGUANGUGGAUUGUUNAGUCAGUUGUGAAAGUUUGCGGCUCAACCGUAAAAUUGCAGUUGAACUGGCAGUCUUGAGUACAGUAAAAGUGGGCGGAAUUCNUGGUGUACNGGGAAAUGCUUANAUNUCACGAAGAACUCCGAUUG